rnacentral:lncRNA from 1 species
CACAUGACUAGUCAAAAUCAAAAGUCACGUAAACAUAUACAUAUAUAUAUAUAUAUGACUAGUCAAAAUCGAAAGCGUGAACUCUGUGUGUGUGUGUUGAUAAGUGAAUUUUAUAUUAUAUAUUCAACCCUAUUCUUGGUAUAUUUUGGUUCAUAUUUUGGAAGAAUUUUGAUACUUUGAAUUGUAUUUUCAAUACAGGACUUCCAAAUUCCUCUAGAGCAAAACGUGGCCAAAUGGACGAAUUUUGGAGUAAUUAUAGUUGGAAGACGUUCGUGAGUCACUUAGCUUGAUCGUAUCAAAAAUUAGGAUUUUUCCAUCAAGCGGUUAUUUUCUGGUGAUAAAAUAAAGGAGUGAUGCGCGGUGCUGGAAAAUGACGUUUCUGGGCUUAAAUUGCGUUUUUGGAGCCCAAGAUAACCUCGGAUGGUUUCGUGGCAUUCUGAAGAUGUCUUCAGAACGUCCUUAUCUUUAAACCGACCUAUCUUGGGCCAGAUUUGGAGGAGAUCUGAGGCUAAAACGUGGCUGGACAAGUACUUGGCAGAUUCUCCUAGUUUAAUUAGGCUUUUAUUUGCUAAGAUAUUUUUAUUAUUUUUCUUAGUUUCCUAGUUGGAAUAAGAAACAUAGGUCUUAGGGUUUGUAAGGGCUGAGCAAAUAUAUUGCUUUUGCCGUCUACAGUUUUUCUCGACGCUUAUUAUUAUUCAACUUCAGAGACAAAGAACUUGGUUAGGGUUCUUGGAGAUUUUCUACUUUAAGGUGCUUUCAUUCCGUUUAUUUUUAAUAAUAUUUUCUAUGAUUUCAAUUAUGAAUAUGCAUAACUAAUUCCUUCUUGCUAGGGCGAAACCUUGAGCCUUAGCAUGAAUAUGUAAUUUUUAUUUAAUUGCUUAUGAUUGAUUGCAUGCACACUUUGAAUUAUUGAUCAUUGUUUUAAACAUUCUAAUUAUCUUGAUGAUUGGCCCCCAUUAGGAUGUUUAGACAAGUAAUUGGAUGCAAUUCGGUUGGAAUAUCACCGGAGGAUUGAGUAUUGCUUCUUGUGAUUGAUAAUUGUAAUUUCAUCUAAGGCGAACAUCACGUUCUUA